AUGUCUCAACCUGAAGAUAGUGACACCGCCAAGAUGUUGAAAUAUACAGAAGCUCGUUUUGCCUUGUAUCGCAAAGACACCAAUCGUAAGCUCGUUCUUCGCCAGAAGAGGACCUUCGAAUUAGAAGAUGAACCGUGGAAUUUGAAUAACCUUCAUCGGAUGAAAGAUGAUUAUGAAGAUGUGAAGCCUAUUCAUGUUGUCAAGCGUCUCUGCACUAGAAUUAUUUUUCUCAUGGAAGGACGAUUCCUGUGA
rnacentral:lncRNA from 1 species